UGUGUGGCGGAAUUGGUAGACGCGCUGGACUCAAAAUCCAGUGGUAGCAAUAUCGUGAGGGUUCGAGUCCCUCCACAG
rnacentral:tRNA from 1 species